rnacentral:rRNA from 1 species
AUAGCAUAUCAAUAAGCGGAGGAAAAGAAACUAACAAGGAUUCCCAUAGUAACUGCGAGUGAAGCGGGAAAAGCUCAAAUUUAAAAUCUGACGGUUUUGGCCGUUCGAGUUGUAGUCUGGAGAAGUGCUUUCCGUGCUGGACCGUGUACAAGUCUCUUGGAACAGAGCGUCAUAGAGGGUGAGAAUCCCGUCUCUGACACGGACUGCCAGUGCUUUGUGAUGCGCUCUCAAAGAGUCGAGUUGUUUGGGAAUGCAGCUCAAAAUGGGUGGUAAAUUCCAUCUAAAGCUAAAUAUUGGCGAGAGACCGAUAGCGAACAAGUACCGUGAGGGAAAGAUGAAAAGCACUUUGGAAAGAGAGUUAAACAGUACGUGAAAUUGCUGAAAGGGAAACGCUUGAAGUCAGUCGCGUCGUUCAGAACUCAGCCUUGCUUUCUGCUUGGUGCACUUUCUGAAUGACGGGCCAGCAUCGAUUUUGAUCGUCGGAAAAGGGCUGAGGGAAUGUGGCACCUCCGGGUGUGUUAUAGCCUUCAGUCGCACACGGCGGUUGGGAUCGAGGCACGCAGCGCGCCGAAAGGCAGGGGUUCGCCCACUUUCGCGCUUAGGAUGCUGGCGUAAUGGCUUUAAACGACCCGUCUUGAAACACGGACCAAGGAGUCUAACAUGCCUGCGAGUGUUUGGGUGGAAAACCCGAGCGCGUAAUGAAAGUGAAAGUUGAGACCUCUGUCGUGGAGGGCAUCGACGCCCGGACCUGACGUUCUCUGACGGAUCCGCGGUGAAGCAUGUAUGUUGGGACCCGAAAGAUGGUGAACUAUGCCUGAAUAGGGUGAAGCCAGAGGAAACUCUGGUGGAGGCUCGUAGCGAUUCUGACGUGCAAAUCGAUCGUCAAAUUUGGGUAUAGGGGCGAAAGACUAAUCGAACCAUCUAGUAGCUGGUUCCUGCCGAGUCUCCCUUCAGAGAAAUA